rnacentral:tRNA from 1 species
GCGUUGGUGGUUCAGUGGUAGAAUUCUUGCCUUUUAUGCGGGAGACCCGGGUUCGAUUCCCAGCCAAUGUA